UUGCAUGACCAGUGAAGGUUGACAUCAGGGAGCAUCAGUCUGUCAGUCCUCUCUAACAGAGAAAAGCAAAUAUUUUGAUCAACACAACAAUUUACUUCAGGGGAAGUGAAAUGGAAAAUGAGGGUUCUAGUAUGAUAAGGCUUCUCCAAAUGGAUCAAGCAACAAGCGUCAUGGUCUGCUAUCGACACCAUACUCUUCCACUCUGUCCUUGAGCUUCAGCAGACAACCAAAAAGCACUGGAAAAGAAAAGUCAGACAUGAACAAGUAUCUACUCACCCAAGACAGCACUGAUGAAAGGAGUAUCCAUAAUGCAAUGGCUGCUGCAGUGUAUGAAAACCCACUUCAACAUGAGUGAUGACUUAAAAAAGCUGUGUUCCUGAAACUUCUGGAGCAACU